GGCCUGUGAUGCUCAACAAAAUGUGGUCCGUACAAUCUGAGAUGCUUUUUCCUGAUGCAUUCAACUUACAAUUGAUUUCUGAGGCCU